AAGAAGAGGAAAAGGAAAGAAAAGAAGGAGAGGGUGAAGAAUAUGGUUACUUUUUUGUCAAUCAUUUCUCUUCUUUCGAGUUAUCUCCCUUUUUUUUCUUCU
rnacentral:ribozyme from 1 species